GGGCCGGACGGGAGUGUUCAUCACGUUGAGCAUCGUGCUGGAGAGGAUGAGAUAUGAGGGCGUGGUCGACAUCUUCCAGACCGUCAAGAUGCUUCGCACCCAACGGCCAGCCAUGGUGCAGACAGAGGAUGAGUACCAAUUCAGCUAUCAGGCUGCUCUGGAGUACCUGGGCAGUUUUGAUCACUAUGCAACGUAAGAAGCCAUCGCAGUGUCCCCCAGAUGCCCAGUGGCCCCCGACUGUCUCCUGAGCCAUACAAACCAACAACAACAACAACAACAACAACAACAACACACACAACAACACACAACAACACACACCAAACAUCCAGAGGGGGAAUUCUGAAGAACAAACAACUCAAGUGUUGGAUUUAAAAAAAAAAAAAAAAAAAAAGAUUAAAAAGUGAAUAUAUGAAACUCAUGUCUAAACGGCCAAUCAGAGGUCAGAGCCUGACCGGACAGCAUGGAGGGAACCUCCUCUCUCCCACCCCGACGGGAACCAAAAAGCAGCAGACUCGUGCUGGAGGGAGGGAUUCACGUGUCGGACUGCUCACCUUACCUCAAGUGUUCUGCUGUGAGGGAUCCAGACGGCCUCUGACUUGCAAACCGCUCGGGCCCAGACCCGGCUGAGUUCUGGCCCGGAUCUGGGCCCGAGUGGUUCUGGAGUCAGCUGUGGUCUAAGAAAUGGUUGAUUCAUCUUUUUUG